UGGAGAUUGCCAGAGGCAGAAACCUUGGUAGUAAACUGGAGGAAGUCUAGACACCUGCAGCUAGCUCUGUAGAUACACUGCAGAGAGUGAGAAAGGUCCUGCAGGGCCUUGAGUUUGCUAGAGAAAAGUGAAAGAAGCAGGAGAGAGUGAGGAAAGCUCUUUAGGUAGGGUAAGCUGGGAAAGACUACAAAAGCCUACCUGGAAAUGCCUGGGGAAAAGGACAAAUUUCAGGCAGGGGCUAUAGAGAAGCAGACAGACUUUCAGGGAGAAGGGGGCUCUGCCCAGUUGAAACUGGGGUGAAGAUCAUGAGAGUUUGUGGUCUGUUUUCAAAUUUUCUAUUUUUUGUGGUAUUUUGGGCUACUAGGAAAGAGACUGAAGUAGGUUUGGAGCUGGGUGGCCCAGUAUGUACCCAGUGGACUAAAUAAAAGGGACUCCUUGUAGGGAUUGUCUGAUCUAUAUUUGAAGUGGGAGUUAUUACAAGGCCCUGAAGAGUGGUGGACACAGAGAAAGGUACCUCUAGGAACAAAGGGGUGUUCAACACCGCACUGUUUUUUCCAUCCUUCAAUGGGAACUCUUAUUUAGAACUGCCUUCUGUAACAUCUGUAUCAAAGAUCCAGGUUGCAUUGGGGCAGGAACCAAACAGAAUUACAACUAUAUACUUGACAGUGAAAACAACUGCUUUAAAUGGAACUAUCCUUUACAUUUUGUGUGUGCAGUAAGGUGGAG